GUCUCAGUAGCUCAGCUGGAUAGAGCAACGCCCUUCUAAGGCGUCGGUCGGGAGUUCGAAUCUCUCCUGGGACAC
rnacentral:tRNA from 5 species